UAGAUUUUGAUAUUUCUUCAGUAACAGUGAUCGAAAGGAGUUUGACAUUUAUUACCCCAUCGAUCACCUAAGUCACGUGAUUUAGAGAUCACAAAUGGCCGUCAAUUAAAGAAAAAUUGAGGAGUGGCGGAGAAGAGGGAUUAAUCCUUACUUCACGGACUCGAAUCCCAUUGCAGGACGUAGAGCUGGGUCCUUUGGAUAAAAUCGUGUAAACAGAGGUCAGGUGAAAAAAGGAGAAACUGGUGAGAAAAAAUGUCACUGCUCAAUGUUCCUAUAAACCGAGUACAUUGAUGUAGUGGCUAUGACCUCUCAAAAAGUUGUUUUUCCCAUAAAGCAAACUAACAACCAAUCAUUGUAGUUGUUCGAAUGUACUUCGCUUAUGACAAUGAUAUUAUAGAUAGCUUAUUAUAUAACUAGCUUCGUUUGCAGCUAGAAUACACAAUAUCUUACUGUGUACUGUGUGUGCAGCAAAAUCUCUAAGUUUAUAUAGUAAUGAAACAAUAAAUGCCUAUGAAGUGUACACGAAAAGUAUCAAAUUCAAAUUCAAACAAUGAGAUGGGAUAUUUGGUCAGAGACUUAAAGUGUGGAGUGAACUACCCUGGAAAGGUCCAACUUCUCAGGAUCCUGUGUUUUACAAUUUGCCGGCAAUCAAAAUUGAAUACAAAAUUGUUAACACAGGUGGUAGAUGACUCUCUGAGUAUGUCCAUAUCCAAAAUAUUAAGCAUAACCUUAUAUAGCAUCAGACGUACAUCUACAGGGAUGGGGAGGGUGAUUACCACUUGCAGGAUCUAUACCCUAUUUAGUUUAAGAAAUGUUGUUUUUUUCUUUCCAGAGGUAAAUAUU